rnacentral:rRNA from 1 species
UACGUAGGGUGCAAGCGUUGUCCGGAAUUAUUGGGCGUAAAGAGCUCGUAGGCGGUCUGUCGCGUCUGCUGUGAAAACUCGGGGCUUAACCCCGGGCCUGCAGUGGGUACGGGCAGACUAGAGUGCAGUAGGGGAGACUGGAAUUCCUGGUGUAGCGGUGAAAUGCGCAGAUAUCAGGAGGAACACCGAUGGCGAAGGCAGGUCUCUGGGCAUUAACUGACGCUGAGGAGCGAAAGCAUGGGGAGCGAACAGG